GAGACUUAGCUGAACCAAGAGAGUUUAUGCUAAACACCCUCGCUAACCAUUGAGAGAAAUCAUUCCUUGGGAAAAGAGUGAGCAUUUCCACUGGAAAAGGGGGUUUUGAAAAGAAAAUACAGGGGUUCAAAAUCCGAAGUGGAACCCAAGAGGACAGCAACACCUGGAGUGGAAUAAAACAAUCUCAACCCCUCUCGCCGAGUGUGCCGCUUCUCAAAGUGCACUUCAUUGAUUUGCAGUCAGCUGUCAGAUCGUUUGAUCAGAUUUCAUCUAGUUCAGUGCUGUGCACACCCAGAGGGCCCUUGAUAAAUGCAUGAUACAUCAAAUGAAUGG